rnacentral:rRNA from 2 species
UACGUAGGCAGCAAGCGUUGUUCGGAGUUACUGGGCGUAAAGGGUGUGUAGGCGGUUUUCUAAGUCUGGUGUGAAAUCUCCCGGCUCAACUGGGAGGGUGCGCCGAAAACUGGAAGGCUAGAGUGCGGGAUGGGAGAGUGGAAUUCCUGGUGUAGCGGUGAAAUGCGUAGAUAUCAGGAGGAACACCUGUGGUGUAGACGGCUCUCUGGACCGCAACUGACGCUGAGACACGAAAGCGUGGGUAGCAAACAGG